AAGGGCGAGAAGGCGGUGAGACAAGUUCUUCCUAAAAGCCUCUGGCCUAACCAAGAGGAAGGGAAGAAUACUGUUUCACUAGAACUCUCAGGGGCCAGCGGAACGGUCGGUGUAGGGGUGAAAUCCGAUGAUAUCGACCGGAACGCCGAAGGCGAAGGCAGCUGGCUAGGAGAGUUCUGACGCUGAUCCGCGAAAGCUAGGGGCGCGAGCCGGAUUAGAUACCCGGGUAGUCCUAGCUGUAAACGAUGGAUGCUAACUUUGGGGAGUUUCGACCCUCUCCGAGGUAAAGCUAACGCGUCAAGCAUCCCGCCUGGGGAGUACGACGCAAGGUCGAAACUCAAAGGAAUAGGCGGAAGCCCGAACAAGCAGUGGUCCAUGUUGCUUAAUUCGAGAUGAACGAAAAAUCUUACCUGGGCUUGACAUAAUAGCCUCCUUUUCCGAAAGGAAAAGGAUGGAUUUACAGGGUUAUUACAGGUGCUGCAUGGCCGUCGUCAGCUCGUGAUGUGAAUCGUAACCUUAAGUGGCACAACGAGCGCAACCCCUAUCCUAUGUUACACGUGUCAUAGGAGACUGCCAACCACAAGUUGGAGGAAGGUGGGGAUGACGUCAGGUCCGCAUGGCCCUUAUGCCCAGGGCAACACACAUGGUACAAUGCUGAAGACAACGGGAAGCGAAACCGCAAGGUGGAGCAAAUCCCCAAAACCUACCUCAGUUCGGAUUGAAGGCUGAAACUCGCCUUCAUGAAGGUGGAAUUGCUAGUAAUCG
rnacentral:rRNA from 1 species